GCAGAAGCCGUCUGACCCUUCGGGGGGACGACGGUGGAAUGAUCGGCGGACGGGUGAGUAACACGUAAAGAACCUGCCCAUAGGUCUGGGAUAACCACGAGAAAUCGGGGCUAAUACCGGAUGUGUCAUCGGACCGCAUGGUCCGCUGAUGAAAGGCGCUCCGGCGUCGCCCAUGGAUGGCUUUGCGGUGCAUUAGCUAGUUGGUGGGGUAACGGCCCACCAAGGCGACGAUGCAUAGCCGACCUGAGAGGGUGAUCGGCCACACUGGGACUGAGACACGGCCCAGACUCCUACGGGAGGCAGCAGUAGGGAAUCUUCCACAAUGGACGAAAGUCUGAUGGAGCAACGCCGCGUGAACGAUGAAGGCUUUCGGGUCGUAAAGUUCUGUUGUAAGGGAAGAACAAGUGCCGCAGGCAAUGGCGGCACCUUGACGGUACCUUGCGAGAAAGCCACGGCUAACUACGUGCCAGCAGCCCGCGGUAAUACGUAGGUGGCAAGCGUUGUCCGGAAUUAUUGGGCGUAAAGCGCGCGCAGGCGGCCUCUUAAGUCUGAUGUGAAAGCCCCCGGCUCAACCGGGGAGGGCCAUUGGAAACUGGGAGGCUUGAGCAUAGGAGAGAAAGAGUGGAAUUUCCCCGUGUAGCGGUGAAAUGCGUAGAGAUGUGCGAGGACCACCAGUGGCGAAGGCGACUUCUUUGCCCUAUAACUGACGCUGAGGCGCGAAAGCGAGCGGGAGCCAAACAGGAUUAGAUACCCCUGGUAAGUUCCACGCCCUUAAACCGAUGAGCUGCCUCAGGUGCUCCGCAGCGUUUUCCCGCCCCUUU
rnacentral:rRNA from 1 species